rnacentral:tRNA from 1 species
GGGUAGCUCAGGGGUAGAGCAGUGGAUUGAAAAUCCUCGUGUCGGUGGUUCAAAUCCGCCCCUGG